AUGGAAUAGCAGUGUUCUGUAUAGUAUUCCUUCACAUAACAUUCAUAGUGAUAAUAAGAUGGAAUAUUCAGCAGAAACUUCUAUUAUGCAUGGUACUGGGCUCCAUUUUAUGAAAAACUUUCUUUCUUCUGGAGAAAAUUCAAUCAGAGUAGAUCAUUAUUUCUAAUUCCUCUUUGUAUUGCUUGUUCAUGCCAAAGAGGAGGAAAGACAUCUCUAAUACAUGAGAGUUUAAUAUGUGGUAAAUUACCAAGAUGUCAGCUCUAUAUUUGAUUGGAAUUAAUGUAAGUUUUUAGAAUAUGGCAUGCUGAAUCUAAAAAAUGGCCUAAUCACAUAAUGAGGAAAAGAAACAAUCAUUAUUUUCUCCUUUCUUUAUGCCCUUAAGGCACCACUGAGGAACUGAAGAAUGCAACAUGAAGAAACCAAUAUUUAAGUUGGGUUUUGAAGGAUUGGGAAGUUUUCUGGUCUGUUCUUGGCAAGGGUGGUGACAACAGAUGCUAAAAAAGCUGAUAUUCAGAAGCUGGACAUUAGAUGCUACAAGGAAAGUGCACUGAGUCUGUAUCAGAACAGAAUAUGAUUAUCUUGCCAUGUACAGGUACCACUCUAACUGUAAGACGAAAGAAAGGUAAACAAAACUCAAUAAUAUCACA
rnacentral:lncRNA from 1 species